UGUGCCACUUUAGUUUUGCACUGCACCACUUUAGUUUUGCACUGCGACUGACUUUUUCACUGCGCCACUUGUAAUUUGUCGUUCCAUAGUGUUUGAAAGUUUGCACAGCUAAGUAUAACAUAAGAAUAUUCGAUUGAUUGAUUGAUUUUACAGUAGUGGAUUCACCACACCCCCCUCCAACUUCUUAAUUAGAAAAGAAAAAGAGAAAAAAAGAAGAAUUAUAAUAAAAUUUAGGUCUGAGUGCUAAAAUCAGAAAUGAAAGAGUAAAUAUUUUAAUGAUGACCCACAAUUUGAGGUGAUCAAUUAAUUUUAUUUGGCUUUAUAUUUAAAGUUUGAUUUUUGGUGGAAAUUUUAUUUCAGAAAAGAAAAUUUGAAACUUAAUUUCACUCUUUCUAACCCAUCAUUAAACUAAUUGCAUUUACUAUAAAUGUUCAUUUGUUGCAGUUUUUGAUUUUAUUUGUCUCUCUAGAAUCUAAAAGUGCAUCGAUCCAGUGGCAGUAAGGCAUUUCCACCUUCAGAAAUUGGCCUGAAUAAUUUUAAAUAAGUUGAAAAAAUUCAUCUGGAUGUUAAUAGUAUAGUAGGUUGUAAAGGUCAUCGCACAUUCAUCUGCUAGACGGAAGUAAUGAAAUGCAGGUUGAGAAUGAGACCUGACAGGUCUUAAAAGUGUUCUAAUGUCCACCUUUGCCGCUGGGGUGCACCUAGAUGUACAAGUAUUUGUAAUAUUUGUUUUAAUGGUAACAUAUGCGAUGACAAGACAGAUAAAAAAGCAAAUCGAGGUGAGGCUUUGCUGGUUUAUGAUGAGGUUGCAUCAUUAUAUGAACAUCUCAACCAUGACCAUAAUGGUUCCCAAUGAGACUGAAAGAUCCUUCUGUCUUUAAAAAGGCCCUGGUGCAGUCCUCCCGAAACAGUGGGCACCAAGAAUUGCUGAAGAAAUUGUUUAACUAUACAGGUAUGUCAACAUUAUACAAUGAUCAAUAACAUUACUUAUAUAUAAGUAGCCUCAAAGUGAAUCCUAUCUCGAAAAGAAGCUCAUUUGAAAGGGCAUAGCUUCUAUUCGACGAGUUACAGUACUGUAUACUGACAAUUUUCAGCUCAAUGUACUCAACUCAUCAUGGUUAGGUAGCUACAGUAUAUACAAAUCAUGGUUAUCACAAACAAAAUGAAUUCUUAACAUUCCCCGUGAACCCAGAAGUCGCAUAAAUCUAAGGAUGCCUAAAUGGCAAAUACAUUAUUUCUAGGUACAGCUGUAUAACCUUAAGCAAGUACUGUCUAAAAGUAAACAGUGGAGGUAUGGGUACACCCCAAUGUCAGACCAAGAGACAAAGCAAUAUAAAAAUCA